UGCAGAAUCCCGUGAACCAUCGAGUCUUUGAACGCAAGUUGCGCCCGAAGCCAUUAGGCCGAGGGCACGCCUGCCUGGGCGU
rnacentral:rRNA from 1 species